rnacentral:rRNA from 1 species
GAAGAACGCUGGCGGCGUGCCUAAUACAUGCAAGUCGAGCGAAUGGAUUAAGAGCUUGCUCUUAUGAAGUUAGCGGCGGACGGGUGAGUAACACGUGGGUAACCUGCCCAUAAGACUGGGAUAACUCCGGGAAACCGGGGCUAAUACCGGAUAACAUUUUGAACCGCAUGGUUCGAAAUUGAAAGGCGGCUUCGGCUGUCACUUAUGGAUGGACCCGCGUCGCAUUAGCUAGUUGGUGAGGUAACGGCUCACCAAGGCAACGAUGCGUAGCCGACCUGAGAGGGUGAUCGGCCACACUGGGACUGAGACACGGCCCAGACUCCUACGGGAGGCAGCAGUAGGGAAUCUUCCGCAAUGGACGAAAGUCUGACGGAGCAACGCCGCGUGAGUGAUGAAGGCUUUCGGGUCGUAAAACUCUGUUGUUAGGGAAGAACAAGUGCUAGUUGAAUAAGCUGGCACCUUGACGGUACAUAACCAGAAAGCCACGGCUAACUACGUGCCAGCCGCCGCGGUAA